UACGGGGGGGGCAAGCGUUGUUCGGAUUUAUUGGGCGUAAAGAGCGUGUAGGCGGCUUUACAGGUCCGUUGUGAAAACUCGAGGCUCAACCUCGAGACGCCGGUGGAAACCGUAAAGCUAGAGUCCGGAAGAGGCGAGUGGAAUUCCUGGUGUAGCGGUGAAAUGCGCAGAUAUCAGGAGGAACACCAAUGGCGAAGGCAGGUCUCUGGGCAUUAACUGACGCUGAGGAGCGAAAGCAUGGGGAGCGAACAGG
rnacentral:rRNA from 1 species